AGCUUCUCAUUAGUUCCAUUCCACUUCCUGCUCGAGACUCACCGGACUCUGCCGUCGCCAGUCAGUCUCACUCUCUCCCUUUUCAACCGGCGGUGAUUAACAGCCACCAUCGGCGACCCCCUCAGGUAUUUUGAACUCUUCCCUGAUAGAAUCCGGACUGCUAUCACCGGCGACUGAUAGAAGCCGGACUCCUGUCAACGGUAAUCAUUCAGAUUCGCCAUACCCUUGAUGAACAAGUAAGAAUGGAGGAUUCUGUGGACAAAAGAGUCCAAUGAGAGAAGAGAUGGCCACCGGAAACAAGAAGAAGUGGAGGUGUCAUCGUCAGUUGUCUCGUGUUUUCUUACUCUGCCGCUUGGGGAGUCGGUUUCAACCUUCAAUCUUGAGAAUGUCGUCUGCAGCCAUGGACUGUUCACGGUGGCGCUGAACCAGUGCGACCCAUGACUAAGACCUAUCUUCCAGCGCCCAUUGAGACUCUCUGAUGAAACCACUUCCAUCCUCGUCUGCAUCUCCCAUCCCCCCAAUUCCCCUUCUCUCCAUGUCCGCGUUCUCGGCACCACUUCCCCCUCUCCCGACGAUCAAGAAGUUCUGCUGGCUCAGGUAGCGCAAAUGUUGUGAUUGUCGGACAAUGAUGAAAGGUAUAUAAGGGAGCUUCACAAGAUCCACCAUGAAGCCAAGAAAGGGGUUUUGGCCGAAAGAGUACAAACAGAAAUAUGUAAAGUAUACAAAAUACAAGGUUUUCUACUCUACAAUCUGCAUUUCUUUCUCCAUAGAAUUCUCAGCAAGGGUAGGCGAACCUGAACUCUGAUUACUGUUAAGAGGAGUUCGGCUUCUGUCGGUCAUCGAUGAUUACAGUCCAGUUUCUAUUAGGGCAGAGUCUAAAAUACUUUAGGUUUUUUCCGGUUGCCGGUAUUAAUAGUCGCCGGUAAUGACUGUUGGUCGCCGCCGGUUGAAGAGGUAGAGAGUGACUAGUGAGGGCAGAGUCCGAUGAAUCUCGAGCGGGAGGUGGGAUGGAAUGAAUGAGAAGGCAGAGAAGCUAACGACAUAGAGGACAGACUCCGUUAAUUCAUUUCGCACGUAUCAAAAAACGCGUGACGCGUCCUCGUGCUGCCCGUAUAUAGCUGCCUGUACUGAAGCCGAACUCCCUAUUCACUCCCAUCACAUUUCUGAAGUACAUGACAAAGACUUGAGUGAGUUCGGCUUCGGUGAGGGCAUGAUCGCACUGUUCGCGCAUAUUGAGGAUGAACCCGUAUGAGCCACCGUCGAUGGCUUAUCCGCCGCUAGCUUUUCAUUAAAUCCAUUUCACUUCCUCUUGAGACUCGCCAGUCUCUGCCCUCGCCUGAUAAACCAAACCCUGUUCAUUCUCAUUCUCUCCCUCUCCAACCGACGGUGACUGUUAACACUGGUGAACAGAGAAAAGCCUCAGGUAUUUUGUUCGUUAAUUUUUUUUUCUUCCCCAAACAGUUGGUUUAAUUCUAUUAAAGCCAUUAGAUAGUGGAUCCAAUGCCUGAUUUCUUCCUUAGAUGUUUGAUUGAUGCCCUUGGUGUUUUGAUCCCUCUUUGUUGAAGCUUCAUCAAUUGGGUUUCCCUUUUCACGCAUCUCUGAAAAAGGAAUUCUAGAUCUAAAGCAUAUAUUGAAAGUUUAUAACAUCUCA